AUUGAACGCUGGCGGCAGGCCUAACACAUGCAAGUCGAGCGGAUGAAGGGGGCUUGCUCCUGGAUUCAGCGGCCGACGGGUGAGUAAUGCCUAGGAAGAUGACUGGCCGUGGGGACAACGUCAGCAUACGGAAGCUAAUACCGCAUACGUCCAGAGGGAGAAAGUGGGUGGUCUUCGGACCUCACGCUGUCAGGUGGUCCUAGGUCGGAUUAGCUAGUUGGUGGGGUAAAGGCCUACCAAGGCGACGAUCCGUAACUGGUCUGAGAGGAUGAUCAGUCACACUGGAACUGAGACACGGUCCAGACUCCUACGGGAGGCAGCAGUGGGGAAUAUUCGACAAUGGGCGAAAGCCUGAUCCAGCCAUGCCGCGUGUGUGAAGAAGGUCUUCGGAUUGUAAAGCACUGUAAGUUGGGAGGAAGAGCAGUAAGUGAAUACCUUGCUGUUUUGACGUUACCAACAGAAUAAGCACCGGCUAACUUCGUG
rnacentral:rRNA from 1 species